UGGCCGCCGCCAAACCUGUGACCUUUUCACCCCCGAAGCCGAAGUGGCGCGUGGACCCCUCGGUGGCGUUCCCGGGCGGCGGCGAUGCAUUCGCACGUCUCGGGCGCGGCUUUUGCGUCCGCUCUCCGAGGGGCCGCCGUCGAGCACUUUGGCGGCGUCGCGAUUGUCAAAACGCCGCCACCCAGCACACGCAGAUUUGCUGAUCAAACGACUUCUUCCAAUCUGGCAGCUGUUCAAAGGCGACAAAUGUCAUGUGACCCAGCCCAACGCAGCUAACGACAGCGGCGCCAUUUUGUUCCCUUCUCGGUGGGAAAUGGCGGGAGUCCCAACUCGAUCCGGAAUGUGAGCGCGGGCCCUGAGACGCACCAUCUUUUCAGAAAACACAAUGAAAUGCAGUCAUUUGAAUUAUGAAAACUUUGAAUUACAUUUUUUU